rnacentral:misc_RNA from 1 species
UAUUGUAGUCCUCUUCCACCCUAGCUUUUAUUCUGUCACGAAGCCUCCCUUGAUGAGAUGGGAUCUCUGAUCUCCCAGGUGACAAUCUGCCCCAAUUCCUACUCCUUCCUAUUUCCUUUUCUACAUGUAAAUCACUACCAUAGGGAGAUCUUUCUGGAAGCUUUCUCCUACCAUGAAGAAUACUACUCACAUGGUUUUCAGGGCCAAAAUCGUGACUGACAACAGAUCUCAAGCCAUGACUUCUCUGUUUUGACAAGCGAUAGCGCAGAUC